AAUAUACUAUCUCCGUCCGAAAAUACUUGUUAUAAAAAUGGAUGUUUCUAGAUGUAGUUUAGUUGUAGAUACAUCAAUUUUUAUAUAUUUGUGCGACAAGUAAUUCCGAAUGGAGGGAGUACUCA
rfam:Hordeum vulgare subsp. vulgare, WGS project CAJW01000000 data, contig: morex_contig_49210